rnacentral:rRNA from 1 species
GCGCUGGAGAACUGAGGGGGGCUGCUCCUAGUACGAGAGGACCGGAGUGGACGCAUCACUGGUGUUCGGGUUGUCAUGCCAAUGGCACUGCCCGGUAGCUAAAUGCGGAAGAGAUAAGUGCUGAAAGCAUCUAAGCACGAAACUUGCCCCGAGAUGAGUUCUCCCUGAGACUUAGAGUCUCCUGAAGGAACGUUGAAGACGACGACGUUGAUAGGCCGGGUGUGUAAGCGCAGCGAUGCGUUGAGCUAACCGGUACUAAUGAACCGUGAGGCUUAACCUUACAACGCCGAAG